UAUAAAUAAAAAUUUUUUAUAGUUAAAAUAAUUUAUUAAAAAUUUAUUUUACAUAUGAAUUUUAGUAUUAAUUUAUUUUAAAUUAUUUUAAUAAUAAUUUAUAUUAAUUUUUAUAGUAAUUAGUAUUAAAAAAUUUAAGAAAUUAAGAUUUAGUAAUAUAUUAAAUUAAUAACAAAUUUUGUGCCAGCAGUUGCGGUUAUACAAAAAUUAAAUUAAAUUUUAUUAGUAAUUAAUAAGUUAAUUUAAAUUAUUUAUAAGGAAAAUUUUAAAUUAUUAAGUGAAAUUUUAAUUUAAUUAAAAUUAUAUUAUUAUUUAUGAUUUAAUAAAUUUUAUAAAAAACUAGGAUUAGAUACCCUAUUAUAGAAAAUUAAAUUAAAAAUACUAAAAAAGUAAAUAAUUAUUUAUUGAAACUUAAAUAAUUUGGCGGUAUUUCAGUUCAUUUAGAGGAAUCUGUUUAUUAAUUGAUAAUCCACGAAUAAAUUUACUUAACUUAUAAUUUUAUAUAUCGUUGUUAUAAAAAUAUUUUUUUAUAAAAAUAAUAUUUUAAAAUUAAAAUUAAAAAUUUAAAUCAGAUCAAGAUGUAGAUGAUAGUUAAGAAUAUAAUGGAUUACAAUAAAAUAAUUUAAAUGAAUAUUAAUUUGUAAAAAUUAAUUGAAGGUGGAUUUAAAUGUAAUUUUAUUUAAUUAAAUAAAAUGAUUAAAAAUUGAAAUAUGUACAUAUUGCCCGUCACUUUCAUAUAAAUAUUAUAUAAUUAUAAAUGUAGUAUAGUAUAAAAUUGAAAUAAGUCGUAACAAAGUAGAGGUACUGGAAAGUGUUUCUAGAAAGA
rnacentral:ncRNA from 1 species